GAUGGACGCUGGCGGCGUGCCUAAUUCAUGCAAGUCGAGCGAACAGAUGAGAAGCUUGCUUCUCUGAUGUUAGCGGCGGACGGGUGAGUAACACGUGGGUAACCUACCUAUAAGACUGGGAUAACUCCGGGAAACCGGGGCUAAUACCGGAUAAUAUUUUGAACCGCAUGGUUCAAUAGUGAAAGACGGUUUCGGCUGUCACUUAUAGAUGGACCCGCGCCGUAUUAGCUAGUUGGUAAGGUAACGGCUUACCAAGGCGACGAUACGUAGCCGACCUGAGCGGGUGAUCGGCCACACUGGAACUGAGGCACGGUCCAGACUCCUACGGGAGGCAGUAGUAGGGAAUCUUCCGCAAUGGGCGAAAGCCUGACGGAGCAACGCCGCGUGAGUGAUGAAGGUCUUCGGAUCGUAAAACUCUGUUGUUAGGGAAGAACAAAUUUGUUAGUAACUGAACAAGUCUUGACGGUACCUAACCAGAAAGCCACGGCUAACUACGUGCCAGCAGCCGCGGUAA
rnacentral:rRNA from 1 species